CCAAACGAUCCCAGCUCAUAUCCACCGUCAAAACAAAACACUGCUUCUCCAAAGACCAUCCAACCAAAAGAAAAAUGUAAAAGAAAAGAAUCAAUCUUUUGAGAGGCAGUUUUCUUUCUUCUCCAAUCUUGUUUCCUUGUUGGUUCGGUGUAGAGAGAAACCCUGUGUUUGUAAUUGUUUGUUUCUCUGUUAUUCCAGGGGAAAGUUUUCAUUUUUAUUAGUUUGGGGGUUGGAUUGAAAAACUUUUAUAAAUGUGGGGAGCUGCCGCAUAACCAGCAGAUUCUUAUUACCAGCAGACUCGUCCUGAGUGCACCGAUGUCCCCAAUACCGCCAGACAAGAUCAAACCUGGUGAGUGUCAGAAAAUGGCAGGCUGCCUUUUACGCGCAGAAAGGUUUCCUCGGUAUUGGCAAGAGUCCAAGUCGAAUGAAUCCAACGAGGGGUAAGUCUUUUACGAUUGGAUAGACAACGAUGUUGGUUGGGUAUUGCCAAGGUAAAGCUUUAUUAGAUUUUCAGAUAUAAAUCCUUUUCUCAAGCAGGUUGAUUCUUAGGGUUUUUGAUCUGUGUGGUUUGCUUCUGAGCAGGAAUGAGUGAUCUUCGUUCACCUAUGAUUAUGCUUUUUGGUGUUUUGAACGGUUGAUGGGCCGAUUGGAAUUUGUUGUCUUCUUAUAUGUAUGUAUUGACUCUCUCGAGGUAACUUGAGGAGCACGGGAAGGUCAGUUGGAGUUGAAGCACAGCUUACUCAUUUGGCUACAAUCACUCAAAUCAUUGACCCCAAAGUUCACUAUCUCUUAGGUAAAUCUAUUUAGCAUCAUUGACUCACACCCUAAUACGUUGAGCUUAUAGAGAGAUCUUGAAAUGCAUAAGAACUUCUAUCUCUUUGCUAUUCGGAUGAUAAUGGUUCAAUUCCGAAGAGACUUCUCCUUCUGUACCUAUGGGAGCUAACAGUUUUGUUCCAUAAACUCAGAAACGUCGUAUUUUGGACCGCACGCUAAGAUUGGGUUUUCUGAGCAGAUGACGUGGGCAUUAUUAGAGUAUGAGCCUGAUAUGUAUUCUCUGUACGAGGAGCCUCAUUUCGAAGGGAAGAAAAUGGAAGGCUCAUCCAAGGGUAAACCUAAGUCGAUAACAUGAAGAACGGUGGGAAAAGCAGUGCACAAGGUCCUACUUUGCCUAUAUAGGUUUUCUUAGUGGCUAGUGUUUUUUCGAAAGACGAGUGUUCUAAGCUUAUGACCGAAGCUUGAGGACUAGAUGAUGUUGUUAAGGCGAAGAAAUAGGAUUGGAGAAGAUUCAUGAGUAGUGUUUUUGUUUUGUUAUUUUUUACAUAUUUGAUAGCUAGCAAAAUUUGGUGGCAAAAAAGCUACUCGUCAGUGAUUUACAUUCCUUGGGAGACAAGCAUUCUUUAAUGCCUCAUACGCUACUGAUUUCUGCCCAAUAUCUUGCUUGAACACAGCCUACAAGGUGAUUUCAAAGCUGAUUGCGAACAGACUUAAAGAAGUUCUUCCCCAUGUGAUAUCUCAAGCUCAAUCAGCUUUCAUGCCGGGGAGACUUUUGGCUAAAAACGUUCUCUUAGCCACUGAUUUAGUAAAAGGGUACAACACCAACAGCUUGGAUGCUCGAGGUAUGCUAAAAGUCGAUCUUAGUAAGGCCUUUGACUCUAUUAGAUGAGACUUUAUCUUGGGUAUUCUCAGAGCUAUUUCGAUACCUGAGGCUGUUAUCACUUGGAUUUCACAAUGCAUCUCAACAGCUUCCUUAUCAGUUUCUGUAAAUGGUGCGAGUGGUGCUUUCUUUAACAGCACAAAGGGCAUAAGACAAGGCGAUCCGAUGUCACCGUACCUAUUUGUUCUUGUGAUGGAAGGUCUGUUUCGGCUUCUCAGAUCACGUUACGACUUGGGUUCCAUCGGCUAUCAUCCUGGAACAUCUGAUCUUAAAAUCUCUCACCUGAUGUAAUGAUAUAUUUUUAUGGUACCAGUGACUCUUCAUGGCAUCACUGAAUGCCUACGACUUCGCUUCGUGGUCUGGCCUCAGAAUGAACCGCACCAAAACGGAGAUAUUCACCUCGGAUUUGAAACUUAGUGAGACCACUGCAGUUGCAGCGUACGGCUUCCCUACAGGUACUCUUCCUGUCAGAUAUCUAGGCCUGCCUCUGAUGAGCAGGAAGCUUCGUGUAUCAGAAUAAGAGCCCCUCAUGAUAAAGAUCCAGUCUCGUUUUAGUUUCUGGGGAGUAAAGGCAUUAUUUUUUGAUGGUAGGCUACAACUAAUUGCAACAAUCAUAUAUGGGACUUUAAAAUUUUGGAUGUCCACUUUUAUUCUCCCAAAGGGAUGUAUCAAGAGGAUUGAGGCUUUAUGUUCGAGAUUAUUGUGGUCUGGAACUACAGAUAUAACAGGGAAAGCUAAAGUUGCAUGGAUCACGGUCUGUCUACCGAAAAAAGAAGGAGGGCUUGGACUGAGAAACAUGUCCACUGGAACAGGGUGCUGUGUUUACAUUCCAUUUGGCUCCUGUUCUCAGAAAGUGAAUCGCUUUGGGCGCAAUGGCACAGACAUCACCAAUCCAACGUGAGAAGCUUUUGGGCUGUCGAAGAAGCAUCUAUGGACUCAUGGGUCUGGAAACAACUUCUCAAGCUGCGACAAGAAGGUAUAAAAUUUAUCAAGCCGAUUCUCGCUAGUGGACGCAGAAUCAGCUUCUGGUACGAUGUUUGGACCCCAUUUGGGCAGCUCAUUCAUUUCCAAGGACAGUGUGGACCCUACCAGCUUCGGGUCCCAAUAAAUGGUCUGGUGGCAGAUGCGUGCUCCCUUACGGCUUGGUCGCUGCCUCCUCCUAGAUCCGACAAGACGGUUGAGCUCCAUAUCUUCUUAACCUCCAUCCAAUGUCCGGCUUACUCAACAGUUGCAGACACUUAUGAGUGGACAACCUCUACUAAGCUAGAUGCAAAAUUCAGUGCCUUAAAUAAUUGGCAAGAUAUGCACCUCCCAGCUCCUGUCCAACCAGUGGCGGAGACUAUCUGGUUUAAAGGAGCAAUACCAAGGAACAGCUUUAAUAUGUGGAUAGCAAGCUUGAACAGAUUUCUAACCAGAGCAAGACUAGCAGGGUGGGGCCUUCAAAUAAAUACAGCUUGAUAUCUCUGUUCUGCCUUUACAGAAACCAGGGAUCACCUCUUUCUCUCUUGCGCUUAUAGCAUGGAGGUGUGGCGACUCUCUAUCGGCAGGUUAAACCCACCGAACUCUCUGUUCAGAACUUGGGCUGAGAUCCUAUCUUGGAUUAGAGGUACCUCAGUCGCAGCGCCUUCUCUCCUGCAGAAGCUAGCUGCCCAAUGUAUCAUUUAUCACCUCUGGAAGCAACAAAACAAUGUGCUACACAAUCACAUUGUUCUACCACCUACCACCAUAUUCAGGACCGUUGAUAAGGAGAUGCACAACACAAUUACAGCAAGGAGGGAGAGGAAGCACUUCCUCAACCUUAUGGUCAAAUGAAUGCGAUGAACUACGUUUUAUCUCAUAUUCAACUUUGUUACAUCUUUGUUUUUUUCUACUUUUUUGCCAAAGUGUAACAAAACCUAGAUCUACAUUUCUC